UGAAUAAUUGCUCUAUGUUGUUACGUUCCGGGACCUACCAUAAACCAUAACUCAUCCCUCGGUCAUACUUAUUCGGACCUCCAAUAAUCCUAAAGAACCGUUAUUAAAAUUUAGCAUU